GAGAGGCUGAGACUCCCAGUGAAAGGCAGACAUGCCAUUCAGGAAGGUGAUCAAGAGUCCAGCUUAAAACUGGGUUCAAAUCUGGAUUCUGCUCCUGUGUGACUCCAGGCAACUUGCUAAGCCUCUCUGAAACCUGGAGUUUAUCACUGGCACAAAGGGGAUCAGAAUGCCUACCUCACAGGAUUUUCACGAGAAUUAAACAGGAGGAAGAAUGUAAGGUGCUCAGCUCUGCACCUGGGGACAGUAAGCGCUUGAUAAAUGCAGCUCUUGUAAGGGUGCCAUUCAGCAGAUUCUCGUGGGGGAGGGUUGGGGAGGCUGGCUCCCUCAGGCUUUUGCUCAACUUGAGCCACAGAGAAAAUAUUCAGUAAGUGGAUGUUGACUGGAUGUGUUUUCGUUCUCACAGCUGAGAGAAAACAGCAGUGCAGAGAGGUUAUGUGACUUGCUGGAUCGCAGGUCCCCAGCGAGCGAGGACUGGGAGGUCUGCCUGGACCCUGUUCUAUCUCACGAACUUAAGAAAAUCUCACUAAGAAAAAAGCAGACUGAAAAACAAUAUGUAUAGUAAGAUACCUUUUUUUGCUUAGAACUUUUAAAAAAUCUCUAUGUAUUUAGAAGAGCAUAGAAAAAAAAACCUACUGAAGAUUCCACCUUGCACUGAUUAUGACGGUCACCCCUGAGGACUGAGACUGACUUUAAGUGUGUGUUACUUUUUUUUUGGCUAAAACAUAAAGAUUUUUAAAAAUGUUCAAAGCACUCUAACUUCUAAUCCUACGGGAAAGAAUGUUCAUGUUUUAUCGAAAGAGAGACCAAAAUGUGCGGAGGGUCAUCUCUUCUGAAGGUCGUGAUAACUUCCUAACUUUUCAUCAAAUGGUCUCCAACCACCAGGCCAGUGGUAUGUAUUGAGAGCUACGCUUACUUCACGGGCUGUAAGUACAGCAGCAACUGGGACACGACUGCUAACGUGGUGGAAAGAAGUUAUGGCACAAGAAGGAUUUUUUUUAAGUCACCUAAAGUUCCUGUCAGAGUGGGAGCCUCAGCCUCUGGCGUUUCCUUCGUCAAGGUUGGCUGCUACGGCCUAUUCUUCACCUCAAUGCUUUCUUUCUAUUCCUUAUCGUGUGUAGAAUGCCCAUUUAACAUGAGGUGGUCAUGUGAUGUUUUUCCUGGAAAUUUAUUAUAAUUGCAAUGGUAGAUAUAUAAUCUAUACACACAAAGAAAAUAAACCUUCUAAUGAGGACUCAGGCUAACCACCUUAGGGAAUUGCUGUUUUUGAUUGUAUUUUAAGGCCAUUAAAAUAUCUGUUUAGUGAUUUAUUCACCCUGUAGACAGAUGUAGGGAUCAGUCUAUUUUUCACGUUACAGUGGAGUUUUCUUUUCAAAUAUUCUCCCUGGCCUUGUGGUGAAAUGUGCAUUAUGAUACUUCCUCAUCGUGACACAUGCAAAAGCGUUAUUCAUCAAAUGGUAUUUUCAAGCGUACUUCUCAUUAUUCUUUCAAGCACAUAAACAUAGCAAAGCCCUAGACUCUUGCCACAAUAUCAAAAGAAUUGAAGAUGUGGUGGAGCGCCUGACCUGCAUGGACCUGGAUUUUCGGGACAAGGUCACCGUAUUUCACAUGAACUUCUCUCCUGUUCUUUUCCCUUCUCCUCCCUCCCCCACGCCAAAUACAUAACUGUACUUGGUCUGAUGCUAAAUCAAGGUAAAUGAGACGUGACCUAUUAAAAAAGGAAAUGAAUUAUCGAAAGGGGAAAAUUGCAUUCCCGGCCGGGAGUGUGGACGUCAUGGCUUGAAUGUGUGUGUCUGUUCUGCCACUUCACUAGAUGGUCUUGCUUUUUGGGUGGCAUGUCUUCCAUCAUCCAAAUUGCCUCAUGAAGUCAGCAAAGUCAGUCAGACCAUGUUUUGGAGCUAUCUACUUUGUAUUUUUUUCCAAGGUUCUUUUUAAUGAAUGAAUGUAGUUAUAGCAGACCCGUCUUUAAGGGGUCUCUGGGAAUAGUCCUUAUUAAAUUCCCUACAACUUGAUCUAAGUCGGGAGUUAAAUGAUCUGUGUGAGCAGGCACACAGGUCAGGGUUUCACGGGCCAAACUCUUACUAGACUCCCGAAUAUCUUCCAAGUGCCAGUGGAGCCUGCCUGUCCUUCCAGCGGACUGUGGAGGAGGACGUAGGACUGUGAAGUUACUCCCAGGAAGUCACCCCAGGCAGUUCCUUCACAUCCUUGGGGCCAGCCUGAAUGGCACUGGACUCAUCCAAGGAGCCAGGUCUUUGCAAGUGGAGCAAAGAGCUGGAGGGCAGAGAUUCUCGGGCUGCAGGACCGGGAGAACGUUGUCCACGGUACUCUCCAUUAAAUGUCAGUGACCAGCUGGGCUUUGACCAGGCAACAAAGAGAAUCUGAUAGCCCAAGGAGGGGGCCAGUUCCUUAGGCUCUGUCCCUUGUCACUGUCUUGCCAUUUGUUGCAUUGUGGUCAUUCCAUAGCUUUUUCCUUUCUUUUUUUCUCUGUUUACUUGUAACAAAAGGGGAGGGGAGACAAACAGUUUUGGUACAUUAUAAUCAUUGAUAUUAUUUCCUUAUGGAAUGAAUAGUUCCUAUUAUUUCUAGCCAAUCCAGAUCAUUGUUGAGAAUAAUAAUAAAUAAAUCUUCCAUAUUAUGAUUGAAGCAAUCAUUAGAAAACAAACUUUCAUCGUGAGAUGUUUUGUAUUAGUCUUUU